rnacentral:rRNA from 1 species
CCUACGGGAGGCAGCAGUAGGGAAUAUUGCUCAAUGGGGGAAACCCUGAAGCAGCAACGCCGCGUGGAGGAUGAAGGUUUUCGGAUUGUAAACUUCUUUUGUUAGGGAAGAUAAUGACGGUAUCUAACGAAUAAGCACCGGCUAACUCCGUGCCAGCAGCCGCGGUAAUACGGAGGGUGCAAGCGUUACGCGGAAUCACUGGGCGUAAAGAGCGCGUAGGCGGGAUAGCAAGUCAGAUGUGAAAUCCUAGGGCUUAACCAUAGAACUGCAUUUGAAACUGUUAGUCUAGAGUAUGGGAGAGGUAGGUGGAAUUCUUGGUGUAGGGGUAAAAUCCGUAGAGAUCAAGAGGAAUACUCAUUGCGAAGGCGACCUGCUAGAACAUAACUGACGCUGAUGCGCGAAAGCGUGGGGAGCAAACAGGAUUAGAUACCCGAGUAGUC